rnacentral:rRNA from 1 species
UACGUAGGGACCAAGCGUUGUUCGGAUUUACUGGGCGUAAAGGGCGCGUAGGCGGCUUAACAAGUCACUUGUGAAAUCUCCGGGCUUAACUCGGAACGGCCAAGUGAAACUGUCAAGCUAGAGUGCAGAAGGGGCAAUCGGAAUUCUUGGUGUAGCGGUGAAAUGCGUAGAUAUCAAGAGGAACACCUGAGGUGAAGACGGGUUGCUGGGCUGACACUGACGCUGAUGCGCGAAAGCUAGGGGAGCAAACGGG